rnacentral:rRNA from 1 species
GUCUUUUAGAAAAUAAUUUAAAGUCUAGCCUGCCCACUGAAUAUAUUUGAAGGGCCGCAGUAUUUUGACUGUGCAAAGGUAGCAUAAUCAUUAGUCUUUUAAUUGAAGGCUUGUAUGAAUGGUUGGAUGAAAUAUUAACUGUCUCAAAUUAAUAAAAUAGAAUUUAAUUUUUAAGUUAAAAAGCUUAAAUUAAAUUAAAGGACGAGAAGACCCUAUAGAUCUUUAUAUUUUUAUUUUUAUUUUUUAUUUAGUUAAACAUAUAUUUUUAUUAAUAAAAAUAUUUUAUUGGGGUGAUAACUAAAUUUAUUUAACUUUAUUUAAUAUUUACAUUAAUUUAUGAAUAAUUGAUCCAUUAUUAAUGAUUAAAAGAUUAAGUUACCUUAGGGAUAACAGCGUAAUUUUUUUAGAGAGUUCAUAUCGAUAAAAGAGUUUGCGACCUCGAUGUUGAAUUAAAGAUUAAUUUAGGUGCAGUAGUUUAAAUGUUUGGUCUGUUCGACCAUUAAAUC